rnacentral:rRNA from 1 species
UGGCGGCAGUAGCGCGGUGGUCCCACCUGACCCCAUGCCGAACUCAGAAGUGAAACGCCGUAGCGCCGAUGGUAGUGUGGGGUUUCCCCAUGCGAGAGUAGGGAACUGCCA